GCGGAAGUGGCGAAAUUGGUAGACGCACCAGAUUUAGGUUCUGGCGCUUAGGCGUGAGAGUUCGAGUCUCUCCUUCCGCACCA
rnacentral:tRNA from 1 species